GUGUUGAGGUGUGUGCCUGUUGAGGACGAAUAGAAUGAGUACUCAUAUUUUUGCUAGCUAGCCAUGUUAUUCCUCAUUAGUCAUCGACUUUUGGGAUGAAUUGAAUACCUCAUUAGCCAUCGGCUUUUGGGACGAAUUGAACUUUGUAACAUGAUUAAGCUGUGUGUGAUUUAUUGAUAUGUAUUGUGAGAUUGUGAAAUGAAUUUAAAUUUUUAUUGACAUUCACUGUCUUUUGA
rnacentral:misc_RNA from 1 species